rnacentral:rRNA from 1 species
AGAGAGAGACAUGCGCGCAUAUCAAUAGCGGAGGAAAAGAAACUAACAAGGAUUCCCUUAGUAACGGCGAGUGAAGCGGGAAGAGCUCAAAUUUGAAAUCUUCAAGGUUUUACCUUGACGAAUUGUAGUUUAAAGAAGUGUUUUCUGCUGAAGUUUUGGUAAAAGUUCUUUGGAAUAGGACAUCAUAGAGGGUGAGAAUCCCGUAUUUGACCAUUAUUUUCAGCUUUGCGAUACACUUUCAAAGAGUCGGAUUGUUUGGGAAUGCAGUCCAAAAUGGGUGGUAAAUUUCAUCUAAAGCUAAAUAUUGGCGAGAGACCGAUAGCGAACAAGUACCGUGAGGGAAAGAUGAAAAGAACUUUGAAAAGAGAGUUAAACAGUACGUGAAAUUGUCAAAAGGGAAGCGUUUGACACCAGUGUUGUUUUCUCGAAAAUCAAUUAAAAAUGGCUCGAUUUUGUAUUGCUUGAGACCUUAAAAGCUCACUGUACAUUUUUCGUGUCUUUUUUAAUGCACUUUUCGUUUAACAAGUCAACAUCAGUUUCUUUUGUUGUAAAAGGGUCAUUGGAAGGUGGCUUUCUUUUCGGAGAAAGUGAUUAUAGCCUUUGGCCUCUGCAAUCGAAGAGACUGAGGUCUGCAGCGUAGACUCUUCGGGGUUAGAUACAUUUGUGCUAAGCUAUAGUUCUUUAUAGACAACUUGUUGACUAUAAUCAGUCCUGUAGCUUACUCGCUUAUGCUAUUUUACCUACGCUUAGGAUGUUGAAGAUGUAGCACAUCAU